CUCCACUGGAGGACUGUUGACUGUUUCAUUAUGGUCUCCAGUCACCUGAGGCAGCACUGAGCAGCAGAUUGCUGAGAAGUUCACUUUCCCUCCGGUCUGCACGAUGGCCUUUGUAACCUGGCAGUUUUCUCUGGUUGCCCUCAUUAUUCACACCAGUGCUCGGACUUGACCACAGCUGAAACCUGACUGUGCUGUUGGCAGCUUAGGAUCAUGGUGACUUUUCUCAAGGGGUACAUUUACUGCGAAGAUGCCGGGAAACUAAGAGCUCAUGAAAGGACCAAUUCCAACAAUGAAUCAUCUGUCUCUUUAUACUUUCUUACUUUAUCCCCAAGCCCAUUGGUUCCUACUGAGGUCCUAAGGCUUAAGGGUUGUUUUGUUCUGGCACCUGGCACCAGGGGGCACCUGGAUCUACAGGACGCGCCACCACAACAUCACGUGACGCUUCUGAUGAUGACGACAGACGCAGCCGUCGAAACUGUCAAGGUA